AGUCAGGCCCAGAGCUUCAGCAGCGGGCACAGUGUGGACUUUCCAUCGCGAAGCGGGGUGAUCCCUUGGCGGGGAUCGGCAGAAAAGAGCUCCGAUCGCCGGCCUGCUGCCUAUAACAUCCUGAAGCCUUAGUCCACGGAGCUUCUGGCAGCAGGCGUGGAGCGGACUUUACCAUCGCGGAGCGGGGCGAUCCCUUGCCGCGGGUUGGCGGAGAACAUUUCCAACCGCCAGCCUGCAGCCUAUAACAUCCUGUAGCCCGGUCUCCGGUUAGGAAGUGGCCAAUUCGGGAACUCCAAGCAUCGGGAGUGUGUUCGAUCUGUCUCAAGGUCAGAGCUUCGAUCAUCCCGAUGAGAGGGCUUGCACAUCAGGCCGUCUGUAGUGGCGACUACAGAGGAUCUAGGCCCCCAACCAUGGUGAACAAAGGAGGAAGACUGACUGAACUUUAUUGCCUUCCAUCACAGUGAAGAAUGCUGUGGUGAAGGUUUAUGUUAAAUUCUAUUGUGUAUUGUGGUUUUUUUAAUUGUAUGGCUGCAUGGUAAUUCAUUUAACUAUACCUUAAUUGAUGCAUGUGAUAAAUAAAUGUGAACCUUGAACCUUGAGCCUUGAUCCUUGAACCUUGAACCUAGGUCAGGUUGAAUAGGAAUUUGGUUAGGCCACAUUUUGAGUACUGUGUGCUGAUCUGGUUGCCCCAUUAAAGGAAGAACAUAGUGGCUUUGGAAGGUUUGCAGAGAAGUUUCACUAACAUUUUGCCUAGAUUAGAAAAUAGACAAUAGACAAUAGGUGCAGUAAUAGGCCAUUCAGCCCUUCGAGCCAGCACCACUAUUCAAUGUGAUCAUGGCUGAUCAUCCCCAAUCAGUACCCCGUUCCUGCCUUCUCCCCGUACGCCCUGACUCCACUAUUUUUAAGAGCCCUAUCUAGCUCUCUCUUGAAAACAUCCAGAGAAUCUGCCUCCACCGCCCUCUGAGGCAGAGAAUUCCACAGACUCACCACUCUCUGUGAGAAAAAGUGUUUCCUCGUCUCCGUUCUAAAUGGCUUACUCCUUAUUCUUAAACUGUGGCCCCUGGUUCUGGACUCCCCCAACAUUGGGAACAUGUUUCCUGCCUCUAGUGUAUCCAAGCCCUUAACAAUCUUAUAUGAUUCAAUGAGAUAUCCUCUCAUCCUUCUAAACUCCAGAGUGUAUAAGCCCAGCCGCUCCAUUCUCUCAGCAUAUGACGGUCCCGCCAUCCCGGGAAUUAACCCUGUAAACCUACGCUGCACACCCUCAAUAGCAAGAAUGCCCUUCCUCAAAUUAGGAGACCAAAACCACACACAAUACUCCAGGUGUGGUCUCACGAUGGCUCUGUAAAGCUGUUAGGGGAUAUUAGCUGCAGGGAGAGGUUGAAUAGAUUUGGAUUGUUUUAUCUGAAUCACCAGAGGUUCUGGGGGAACUCGAUUAAAGUAUAUAAAAUUAUGAGAGGCAUAGAGAGGGGAGACAGUCAGAAACUUUUUCCCAGGAUAGAAAAAUCAAAUAUUAUGGGGCACAACAUUAAGGUGAGAGGGCAAAUUUUAAAGGAGCUGUGUGGGGCAAUUUUUUUUACACAGAUGAUGGUGUGUGCCUGGAACGUGCUGCCGGGGUUGGUGGUGGAGGCCGAUUCAUUAGUGGCAUUGAAGAGACUUUUGGAUAGGCGCAUGGAUAUGCAGGGAAUGGAGGGAUUGUAGCGAGACUAAGCAGGUUGAGAAAAUGGUUUUAUUGCCAAAUCGUUACUUGAACUACACGAGCACUUAGUCGAGAGAAAACGUUUUUUGAAGCUCUUGUCAUUGCGAGGAGUACUAGCUACCGAACAAGUUUACUAACUCAAAAAACCCCGCGAAAAACCCUGUCACGUGACAGUCCCGACUUCUGACGAGGGUUCUGUAUGCACGGUUUAACCACUAGGUGCCGCUACAGGAUACAGAUUAUGUGCAGGUAGAUAAGAGAUGGUCUUGGCAUCAUGUUCAACACAGACAUUGUGGGCGGAAGGGCCUCUUCAUGUGGUGUACCCUUCUGUGUUCUAUGUUCAUUUGAAUAAUAACUACUAAUUUGUCAAAAUGAUUUAACUUAACUUUCACCUCCUACUCUCAGGAUGAAUGGAGACUGCAGGCAGAUGGUUGAUGUAACCAAAGUGCAAUGGAAGAACAAGAUUCAAUCAUCUAAUGCGAUGAAAUUCCAGUAAAACAAGGCCUUGCCGGUCGACGUGGAGGCAUAGACUGUGAGGGCAGUGAUGAUCUGGACCUCCCAGCUGAUGAAGAUGGCUAAACAGAGUCACCCUGACCACUCCGAGGAAAUUGUCUGAAGAAAUCUCCAUAAAGAGGACACGUUUGCUAAAGCAAAGCUGCAUCUAAAUCCAAAGCCUAAUCCGAGAUUGUGGUGAAUCUUUGGAACCCUCCACUUUGGUGAGUUGGCUGAAUCAUUGUGAGUAAUAAAGAGACCAUCGAAGGGAUUUCUGGAGUCGCUACCUCAAGAAGAAAGCCGGCAUCAUCAGAGAUCCACACCACCCUGGCCACCCUCUCAUAUCACCCCUGCCAUCGGGAAGGUGCAGGAGCCUGAAAACUGUAACGUCCAGGUUCAGGAACAGCUACUUCCCUACAGCCAUCAGGCUAUUAAAACACUACAACUACAAAUAAGAUUUAUUUUUCUCUCUCGUUUAUUAUAUUGUUUUCACUAUCCUAUGUUUAACUAUUCUGUUGUGCUGCUGCAAGUACGAAUUUCAUUGCUCUAUCUGGGACAUAGGACAAUAAUACACUCUGGACUCUUUUGACUCUCUUGAGGAUGUAGAUAAUUACAUGAAGGAUAAAGGGAUUAUGGGGAUACGAAUGGAGGCCUGGAGCUAAUCAGCUAUGAUCAUAUUGAAUGCUAGGGUCCAAGUGGCCUUUCCUGCUAUUUUCAUGUUUAAUAUUUAGUUUGUUUCCAGCAAAUAUUAUUUCUGCCAUUUACCCAUCACCAAACAAUCCCCACAGCCCAACACAAGGCCUUCUGUGG